CCUACGGGAGGCAGCAGUGAGGAAUAUUGGUCAAUGGGCGGGAGCCUGAACCAGCCAAGUAGCGUGAAGGAUGACUGCCCUACGGGUUGUAAACUGCUUUUGUAAGGGAAUAAAAUGCUCCACGUGUGGAGUUUUGUAUGUACCAUAUGAAUAAGGAUCGGCUAACUCCGUGCCAGCAGCCGCGGUAAUACGGAGGGUCCGAGCGUUAUCCGGAUUUCUUGGGUUUAAAGGGAGCGUAGGUGGGUCGUUAAGUCAGUUGUGAAAGUUUGCGGCUCAACCGUAAAAUUGCAGUUGAAACUGGAAGCCUUGAGUACAGUAGAGGUAGGCGGAAGUCGUGGUGUAGCGGUGAAAUGCUUAGAGAUCACGAAGAACUCCGAUUGCGAAGGCAGCCUACUGGACUGCGACUGACAUUGAGGCUCGAAGGUGUGGGUAUCAAACAGGAUUAGAUACCCCUGUAGUC
rnacentral:rRNA from 1 species